UUGCAUUUUGGUGUCUGGUCAGG
rnacentral:piRNA from 1 species